rnacentral:rRNA from 1 species
UACAGAGUCCGAGCGUUGUUCGGAUUAUCUGGGCGUAAAGGGUGCGUAGGUGGUCGGGUAAGUCUGAUGUGAAAUCUCCAAGCUCAACUUGGAAACUGCAUCGGAUACUAUUCGGCUUGAGGGUUGGAGGGGGGACUGGAAUGCUUGGUGUAGCAGUGAAAUCCGUUGAUAUCAUGGGGGAACACCAAAUGCGAAGGCACUUUACUGGCACAUUCCUGACGCUGACGAC